GAUGAACGCUGGCGGCGUGCCUAAUACAUGCAAGUCGAGCGAACAGACGAGGAGCUUGCUCCUUUGACGUUAGCGGCGGACGGGUGAGUAACACGUGGGUAACCUACCUAUAAGACUGGGAUAACUUCGGGAAACCGGAGCUAAUACCGGAUAAUAUUUCGAACCGCAUGGUUCGAUAGUGAAAGAUGGCUUUGCUAUCACUUAUAGAUGGACCUGCGCCGUAUUAGCUAGUUGGUAAGGUAACGGCUUACCAAGGCAACGAUACGUAGCCGACCUGAGAGGGUGAUCGGCCACACUGGAACUGAGACACGGUCCAGACUCCUACGGGAGGCAGCAGUAGGGAAUCUUCCGCAAUGGGCGAAAGCCUGACGGAGCAACGCCGCGUGAGUGAUGAGGGUCUUCGGAUCGUAAAACUCUGUUAUUAGGGAAGAACAAACGUGUAAGUAACUGUGCACGUCUUGACGGUACCUAAUCAGAAAGCCACGGCUAACUACGUG
rnacentral:rRNA from 1 species